rnacentral:rRNA from 1 species
AAGCGGCGGACGGGUGAGUAACGCGUGGGAAUUUACCAAAGAGUGGGGAACAACUGCUGGAAACGGCAGCUAAUACCGCAUACGCCCUACGGGGGAAAGGCUUCGGCCGCUCUUUGAGAAGCCCGCGUACGAUUAGUUUGUUGGUGAGGUAAUGGCUUACCAAGACUACAAUCGUUAGCUGGUCUGAGAGGACGAUCAGCCACACUGGGACUGAGACACGGCCCAGACUCCUACGGGAGGCAGCAGUGGGGAAUAUUGGACAAUGGGCGAAAGCCUGACCCAGCCAUACCGCGUGUGUGAAGAAGGCCCUAGGGUUGUAAAGCACUUUAAGUUGGGAAGAAAAGUUAUUGGUUAAUACCCAAUAGCCGUGACAUUACCAUCAGAAUAAGGACCGGCUAAUUCCGUGCCAGCAGCCGCGGUAAUACGGAAGGUCCAAGCGUUAAUCGGAAUUACUGGGCGUAAAGCGCGCGUAGGUGGUUUAUUAAGUUGGAUGUGAAAUCCCCGGGCUCAACCUGGGAACUGCAUCCAAAACUGAUUCACUAGAGUACGAUAGAGGGAGGUAGAAUUCACAGUGUAGCGGUGGAAUGCGUAGAUAUUGUGAAGAAUACCAAUGGCGAAGGCAGCCUCCUGGAUCCGUACUGACACUGAGGUGCGAAAGCGUGGGUAGCGAACAAGAUUAGAUGCCCUGGUAGUCCACGCCGUAAACGAUGUCAACUAGCUGUUGGGGAACUAUGUUCUUCAGUGGCGCAGCUAACGUAGUAAGUGACCGCCUGGG